rnacentral:tRNA from 1 species
UGGGGUUGCGGCUUAUUGGUAGAGCACUUGUCUAGCAUGCGUGAGGUACUGGGUUCAAUCCCCAGCACCACAA